CAGAGUAAAAGAAUACGCGUUAAGUGUUUGCCGAACGGGGAGUUGACGGCAAAACGAAGGGAACGCAGCCUGAUGAUGACAUCUUAUCAAUGUCGGAUACAGAAGCGUACCUGCGGUGUAUUCUUUGCAUCCCGCUGU
rnacentral:ncRNA from 1 species